rnacentral:lncRNA from 1 species
GUCUGUUUGAUAACUAGAGGUUAAUGUCCUCUUGUCUGAAUCAGUAAUAAUAUAUGGUAGAUGUGUAUGGAUUAAUGUUUCCGAGCCGGGAAUGUAAAUUAAACGUCGGUGAAAACUUGUGAUGCAGAUUUGUUCAAUUAGGGAUACAUAUAUUUACAGAACUGCCCAGUAUAUGGUUCUUCUUUUGCAUGGACUUCCAGUCAUGACUGUCGC